AAGCAGGAGGUGUCAGAAAAGUUACCACAGGGAUAACU
rnacentral:piRNA from 1 species